rnacentral:piRNA from 1 species
GACUACAGAGAGCCCUUCUUCCGAAA